rnacentral:misc_RNA from 1 species
GAUAGAACGUAGCGAAAUGCGAUACUUGGUGUGAAUUGCAGAAUCCCGUGAACCAUCGAGUCUUUGAACGCAAGUUGCGCCCGAAGCCAUUAGGCCGAGGGCACGCCUGCCUGGGCGUCACACGUCGUUGCCCCCCCAUCUACUCCUUCGGGAUUGCGGGGGGCGGAUGAUGGCCUCCCGUGCGCCUCGUCGCGCGGUUGGCAUAAAUGCCAAGUCCUCGGCGACACACGCCACGACAAUCGGUGGUUGCGAAACCUCGGUUGCCCGUCGUGUGCGGUCGUCGCGCAUCGAGGGCUCGAAAAAAUUGCCGGGCUCCGGCUCGGCUUUCAACGCGACCCCAGGUCAGGCGGGGUUACCCGCUGAAUUUAAGCAUAUCAAUAAGCGGAGGA